rnacentral:lncRNA from 1 species
GAGCAUAUGGUCAAUUAUACACAAAUCAUUCAUAUGUUCUUCCAAUUUUUCCUCCUCCUCCUCUCCAUUUCACAUCCUUAAUGUGUAUAACACACUUAAACAACAUUAACUACAAUAUCACUAUUCACUCACAUGUAUAUUCAAAGUUGUCUAUUCAAGUCAGAGUCACUAAAUUAUUUUUACCUAGAGCUAUAAAACUCCAAAUUAAGAUCCGUAAAUUUUCC